CCUACGGGCGGCAGCAGUGGGGAAUAUUGGGCAAUGGGCGCAAGCCUGACCCAGCAAUGCCGCGUGAAGGUAAAAGGCUUUCGGGUUGUAAACUUCUUUUCUCAGGGACGAAGCAAGUGACGGUACCUGAGGAAUAAGCCACGGCUAACUACGUGCCAGCAGCAGCGGUAACACGUAGGUGGCAAGCGUUAUACGGAUUUACUGGGUGUAAAGGGCGUGUAGGCGGGAAAGCAAGUCAGAUGUGAAAACCAUGGGCUCACGCUGUGGCCUGCAUUUGAAACUGUUUUUCUUGAAUGCUGGGGAGGCAGACGGAAUUUCUGGUGUAGCGGUGAAAUGCGUAGAUAUUA
rnacentral:rRNA from 1 species